AUUUAAAUAGCUUAAUAAGAGCACAAUAUUGAAGAUAUUGAGGUAGCAUUGAUUGUUUUUAAGUA
rnacentral:tRNA from 1 species